ensembl:rRNA 5S_rRNA 5S ribosomal RNA
ACCUACUGCCAAACCAGCCUAGACGGGCCCGAUCAAGUCCGGAUCUCGGAAGCUAAGCAGGGUCGGGCCUGGUUAAAAAUUGGAUGGGAGACCUCCUGGAUGGGAGAGCUCCUGGGAAUACCGGGUGCUGUAGGCU